rnacentral:rRNA from 1 species
UGCCAGCCGCCGCGGUAAUACGAAUGGUGCUAGCGUUGUUCGGAAUCACUGGGCAUAAAGAGCACGUAGGCGGUUUGGUAAGUCAGCUGUGAAAUCCCCCGGCUCAACCGGGGAACUGCAGCUGAUACUGUUGAACUAGAGUGCGCGAGGGGAGAGCGGAAUUCCUGGUGGAGCGGUGAUAUGCGUAGAUAUCAGGAGGAACGCCGGAGGCGAAAGCGGCUCUCUGGCGCGCAACUGACGCUGAGGUGCGAAAGCUAGGGGAGCGAACAGGAUUAGAUA